CCGACCUUAGCUCAGUUGGUAGAGCGGAGGACUGUAGUGUGACCCACAGCUUAUCCUUAGGUCGCUGGUUCGAAUCCGGCAGGUCGGA
rnacentral:tRNA from 1 species